AGAGUUUGAUCCUGGCUCAGAACGAACGCUGGCGGCAGGCCUAACACAUGCAAGUCGAACGAUAAGCCACCUUCGGGUGGUGGACAGUGGCAGACGGGUGAGUAACGCGUGGGAACGUGCCUUUCGGUUCGGAAUAACCCAGGGAAACUUGGGCUAAUACCGGAUACGCCCUUCGGGGGAAAGAUUCAUUGCCGAAAGAUCGGCCCGCGUCGGAUUAGCUAGUUGGUGGGGUAAUGGCUCACCAAGGCGACGAUCCGUAGCUGGUCUGAGAGGAUGACCAGCCACACUGGGACUGAGACACGGCCCAGACUCCUACGGGAGGCAGCAGUGGGGAAUAUUGGACAAUGGGCGAAAGCCUGAUCCAGCCAUGCCGCGUGGGUGAAGAAGGCCUUAGGGUUGUAAACCCCUUUCAGCGGGGAAGAUAAUGACGGUACCCGCAGAAGAAGUCCCGGCUAACUCCGUGCCAGCAGCCGCGGUAAU
rnacentral:rRNA from 1 species